rnacentral:rRNA from 1 species
CCUACGGGUGGCAGCAGUGAGGAAUAUUGGUCAAUGGACGCGAGUCUGAACCAGCCAAGCCGCGUGAAGGAUGACGGCUCUAUGGGUUGUAAACUUCUUUUAUAUGGGAAUAAACUCAGGUACGUGUACCUUUUUGUAUGUACCAUAUGAAUAAGCAUCGGCUAACUCCGUGCCAGCAGCCGCGGUAAUACGGAGGAUUCGAGCGUUAUCCGGAUUUAUUGGGUUUAAAGGGUGCGUAGGCGGACGGUUAAGUCAGCGGUGAAAUUGGGGGGCUCAACCGUGUAAUUGCCGUUGAGACUGGGUGGCUUGAGUGGGGGAGAGGUAGGCGGAAUGCAUGGUGUAGCGGUGAAAUGCAUAGAUAUCACGCAGAACUCCGAUUGCGAAGGCAGCGUACCGG